rnacentral:tRNA from 1 species
GGGUUAUCGUUCUGGAAACACUUGAUUUUGAAAGUCAAUAACAAAGGUUCAAUUCCUUUAUAACCCU